UGUACUCGAAGCUAACUGGUGUGGUUGAUGUCAUCAUUAAGUCCAUCCAGUUAUGCAGUUAAUCUCUAAAAUCAAUAUCAAAUAUUUUUUGUGACUUCAAAUCAUUUAGUUUACGAUAAGACUCGGCACCCGACCUGUCUCUAAAUUACUUGCUCGGUUCAAACUUAUCGCAUCAUUAAAAAUACUUGUGUUUUUAUACGCUAUGCUAUAAAUAAUUAUUAUUUCUGUGAUUUAUUAAUUGUUAAUCGUUUUAUUUAACUCCGCGCUCUAUAUAUUUAUCUCUGAUCGACAAAACUUACUCGCAAUCAAAUGUUAUAUCAUAAUGUGCUCUGUUAAUUAUAUUUGUGCUCAACUCAUGUACUCAACGCUAUUAUCUGUGAUUCAUUUAUAUUAAAUAUGGACAAUACACGAAAUAAGUGACUUUUUAUUUCUUUCAUCAUCCCGAUCCAGCAAAAUAAAUAUUUAGUGUACUUUUAAGUUAUUAUUUUACAGUCGUAAACUCGCUGAGAUUAUGCUGAAAAUUUAAUGUCACUGAGUCAUAACUCAACUGUAUAUUCUACAUAUAUAAUUAAAAAAUCAUUUUUAAUUAAUUCUGCCGAGUCCAUAGAAUAAAAAGUAACAGCACUGUUUUUUCUUCUGCUAGCAAUACAACGUUUUAUAAAGAUUUAUAAAAAUGGGUAAUCUGUUGUGCUAUGGUUUAAUUAUACCAGAAGAAUAGUAUCUCAAUUUUUCAAAGGAUCAAAUUCUAGAUGAUAUUCGCCAUCAUAUUGUAUUAUUAAAUAAGAACGGUGAAAAAUUUGAAAAUUUAAGACUACAAAUUGGUGAUAUUGUAACAGAAUUGAAAAGUUUUGAUAUUGAAGCAUGCUGGUGGUUUGCUAGAUUCGGUGAUGGAGAACUGAAUGGCAGUAUUUCUUCACCAAAAAUUUAGUUCCUGAAAUGUUUCCAGAAUUUGAAAAUGAUUAUGUGAUGAACCAGAGGAGAAGAGAAAGGCAAAUAAUAAUGGAUCGGUUCUUAACUCAUUCAAACAAUCAUCAUGAUUAUCCAGAUGAUGGCAUUGAGUUAGAUGAAAAUGAGUUUGAACGCUUGGAUGAUAUAAAAGUCUUUUUAAAAUAUAAAGAAAUUAUACCAAAAAUCUGCACAGCUAGUUUGAGUAUAGAUGAGGUUGUUGGAGGAAUCGGCGAAAAAAUGGCAAGAUUUUUAGAUAAUUUAUUAUUAUAACUACAAUGCUGAUAGAAAGCUACACUGUGUGGAAAAUGCUCCUGAGUUUCAUCAUCUCCUUGGGUUUUUUCUAGUGUACAUUCAAAGUCAGCAUAUGCCACAAAAGGCACGGUGUCUU